AUAAGAGACCCAAACCCAUUUUUUUUCAUUCCCAUUUCUCCUACACGACUCAAGGGUUCUCUAGAGCCAUCCAAACACUUCAUAUGCAAGAAUCCAAGUGAAACAAAAGAUCCACUUCAUCAAUCCACCAAAACUAAGUGUGAGAAACACAUCAAAUCCAUUCAAGUCAAGAAAUUCCAUAGAAGGUGGAACUAGGGUUUUGUUCAAGUGAAGCAUUUCAACUCAAGGCUUAUUCCUACAAUAACCAAGAUUAAAGUUGAAGGGAUUGAAGGACACUGUGAUACACUCAAAAGCAGGAAGUUAAGGUACUGAUAUACAGGACGACACAUUUGCUCAGUAGGACAACAUUCGUAUCAGCUUAUUGGUGAGCCCCAUCUCAU